CUGGGAGCACAGAGCAGGUCACGGCAAGGAGUGGGGGGACCUCGCACAACCCCUCCCCCAUUCAGCCCCUCAGCCCCCUGGGAGCACAGAGCAGGUCACGGCAAGGAGUGGGGGGACCUCGCACAACCCCUCCCCCAUUCCUGCCCCUCAGCCCCCUGGGAGCACAGAGCAGGUCACGGCAAGGAGUGGGGGGACCUCGCACAACCCCUCCCCCAUUCCUGCCCCUCAGCCCACUGGGAACACAG